AUUGAACGCUGGCGGCAUGCCUUACACAUGCAAGUCGAACGGCAGCACGGGAGCAAUCCUGGUGGCGAGUGGCGAACGGGUGAGUAAUAUAUCGGAACGUGCCCAGUCGUGGGGGAUAACGCAGCGAAAGCUGUGCUAAUACCGCAUACGAUCUAAGGAUGAAAGCGGGGGAUUGCAAGACCUCGCGCGAUUGGAGCGGACGAUAUCAGAUUAGCUAGGUGGGGGGGUCAAGGCCCACCAAGGCGACGAUCUGUAGCUGGUCUGAGAGGACGACCAGCCACACUGGAACUGAGACACGGUCCAGACUCCUACGGGAGGCAGCAGUGGGGAAUUUUGGACAAUGGGCGCAAGCCUGAUCCAGCAAUGCCGCGUGCAGGAUGAAGGCCUUCGGGUUGUAAACUGCUUUUGUACGGAACGAAACGGCCCUUUCUAAUACAGGGGGCUAAUGACGGUACCGUAAGAAUAAGCACCGGCUAACUACGUGCCAGCAGCCGCAGUAAAAC
rnacentral:rRNA from 1 species